rnacentral:rRNA from 1 species
UACGGAGGGUGCAAGCGUUAUCCGGAUUUACUGGGUUUAAAGGGUGCGUAGGUGGCCUUAUAAGUCAGCGGUGAAAUCUCUGGGCUUAACCCAGAAAUUGCCAUUGAUACUGUAGGGCUUGAGUACAGUUGCUGUGGGCGGAAUAUGACAUGUAGUGGUGAAAUACAUAGAGAUGUCAUAGAACACCGAUUGCGAAGGCAGCUCACAAAACUGUAACUGACACUGAGGCUCGAAAGUGCGGGGGAUCAAACAGG